UCUCCCGCGCGAAUUCUCCUCUUCGACAAGACAUAAGGUUCUCUGGUUUCCAACAGAGAACCUUGCAGACAAAUUUUGAAGAUGACAACUUAUUCUUCACGAGCAAGAAAGUUGGGAAGAAAAUCUAGGGUUGUGCGAUUUAGAGAUAGGGUUGUGAGAUUUUCUGGGUGAUUUAGGGUUUGUGAUUUUCUGGGCGAUUUAGAGCUAGGGUUGUGUGAUUUUCUAGGUGAUUUAGAGCUAGGGUUGUGCGAUUUUUCUGGGCGGCCUCUAUUCAUUCGAGCAAGAGAAGAGAAGGUAACGUUCCGAGUGACCUCUGUUCGUUUGAGCUAGGGUUUCCCUUUGUGCUUGAGAACAGGGAAGUUUUUGGGCGCUAUCCAAGCAAGCACCGACCCCUGUUCGUUGGAGCAAGAGAAGAGAAGUGAUUGAUAUCUCAAGGAUGAUCAUCUUACAUCCUAAUGGGGCAAGUUUACUUCUUGUGCAUGUCCAAGAUGAAAAUGGUGCCAUUUGCAGAAGUGGUGAGAAGGAAGGCUUCUAUGAGGUUGUACAUGGACAUGGCUGGACAACUGGCAGAAAGGCUUGCAACAAAGAGGGAGGUUGAGGUCAGAAGACGGGAGCAGUUCUUGAAAGCACAGAGUGCUUUCUUACCUCGGGAUGUAUUUGAAGGAUGACUAUGUAAAGCAUCUUCAAUUCAUGCUAACGAUGAAGGAGAUGCAAUGCCUGUCAUAUCGGAAGCGCAUGCAAGAGAUUUUUUUUCAAUGCCUUUUACUUUUUUAUGUUAAUUGGAUGUUAUAUUUAAACAGUUUGUUUUGGAUAUUAUAAUAA